CAGCCGCCGCGGUAAAACAGAGGGUGCGAGCGUUAAUCGGAUUUACUGGGCGUAAAGCGUGCGUAGGCGGCUUCUUAAGUCGGAUGUGAAAUCCCUGAGCUUAACUUAGGAAUUGCAUUCGAUACUGGGAAGCUAGAGUAUGGGAGAGGAUGGUAGAAUUCCAGGUGUAGCGGUGAAAUGCGUAGAGAUCUGGAGGAAUACCGAUGGCGAAGGCAGCCAUCUGGCCUAAUACUGACGCUGAGGUACGAAAGCAUGUGGAGCAAACAGGAUUAGAUACCCCCGUAGUCCCUGUCUCUUAUAC
rnacentral:rRNA from 1 species